GUGCAGUGUGUGCAGUGCGUAUGCGGCGCACGGAGUUGUGUGUAUGCAGAUGUGUGUGCCAUGCGCCCAGCGCGCAGGGGCAAUGUGUUUGCCAUGGGCGUGCAGUGCGCAUGCAGUGCCCAGAGCCAGCGAAAGUGUGCAAACGUGUACGUGCAGGGGAUGGGUGGGGUGCGCAGUGAGUGCGCGACGCAUGCACGUGGGACGGGCGCAGCGCGUGGCAGGCCGUGUGCAGGCACAAGGCCCAUGCGCAGUGCGCGUACAGUGCAUGAUGGGGCAUGUAGGUGCGUGCAGUGCCCCGGCACCAUUUGUGGGCACUGCAUUUGCAACGCACACGUGUUGCACCUGGGGGAGCUGUGCAGUACAUGUGCAGUGCACGAGCAGCGCGUAUGCAGUGCACAAGGCCCAUCCCUGCACUGCGGCUGCGGGCGUCGUGCAAGUGUGCUGGGUGUGUGCGGUGCCCGGGGGGGUGGGUGCAGUGUGCAUGCAGUGCAUGUGCAGUGCACGAGGGCCAUGCCUGCACUGCAGGCACCAUGCAAGUGUGCUGGGUGUGCAUGGUGCCUGGGGCGGGUGCAGUGUGCUGUUCCCAGGGCGUGCGCAGUGUGUAUGCAGUGCAGGUGCAGUGCAGGUGCAGCACAUGGCGCCCACACCUGCGCUGUGGCCUCGGGCGCUGUGCAAGUGUGCUGGGUGUGCGUGGCACCUGAGGUGGGUGCAGUGUGCCCGGGCAGGUGCAGUGUGUGUGCAGUGUGCGUGCAGUAUUUGGGUCCCACGCCUGCGCUGUGGCCCCAGGUGCCAUGCAAGUGUUCUGGAUGUGUGCGGUUCCCAGGGUGGGUGCAGUGUGCGGUUCCCAGGGUGUGCGUGUGCAGUGCGUGUGCAGUGUGCAUGCAGCGCGUGGGUCCCACGCCUGUGCUGCAGCCCCAGGCGCCGUGCAAGUGUGCUGGGUGGGCACGGCACCUGGGGCGUGUGCAGUGCGUGUGCAGUGUGCAUGCAGCGCGUGGGUCCCACGCCUGUGCUGCAGCCCCAGGCGCCGUGCAAGUGUGCUGGGUGUGCACGGCACCUGGGGCGUGUGCAUGCGCGGCGCGUGGGGCGUGUGCAGUGCGUGUGCAGUGCGUGUGCAGUGUGCAUGCAGCGCGUGGGUCCCAUGCCUGUGCUGCAGCCCCAGGCGCCGUGCAAGUGUGCUGGGUGUGCACGGCAAGAUCGGGAGAGGGG
rnacentral:lncRNA from 1 species